GCCAGGCGUGGUGGCGCGUGCCUGUAAUCCCAGCUACUCAGGAGGCUGAGGCAGGAGAAUCGCUUGAACCUAGGAAAUGGAGGUUGCAGUGAGCCAAGAUUGCACCACUGCACUCCAGCCUGGGUGACAGAGCGAGACUGUGUCUCAA
rnacentral:SRP_RNA from 2 species